UACGUAGGCAGCAAACGUUUGUUCGGAAUUACUGGGCGUAAAGGGCGUGCAGGCGGUUUGUCUAGUCUAGGGUGAAAGCUCCCGGCUUAACUGGGAGAGGUCCUUGGAUACUGGCAAACUUGAGGGAGGCAGAGGAAAGUGGAAUUCCCGGUGUAGUGGUGAUAUGCGUAGAUAUCGGGAGGAACACCAGUGGCGAAGGCGGCUUUCUGGGCCUUUACCUGACGCUGA
rnacentral:rRNA from 1 species